rnacentral:rRNA from 1 species
GCAGGCUGCAACUCGCCUGCAUGAAGUCGGAAUUGCUAGUAAUCGCGGAUCAGCAUGCCGCGGUGAAUACGUUCUCGGGCCUUGUACACACCGCCCGUCACACCAUGGGAGUCCGGUAACACCCGAAGUCUGUAGCCUGACGCAAGAGGGCGCAGCCGAAGGUGGGAUUGAUGACUGGGGUGAAGUCGUAACAAGGUAGC